rnacentral:rRNA from 1 species
UACGUAGGUGGCAAGCGUUGUCCGGAAUUACUGGGCGUAAAGCGCGUGUAGGCGGUUGUUCAAGUCAGGUGUGAAAGCCUUGAGCUCAACUCAAGAAAUGCACUUGAUACUGGAUGACUAGAGGACCGGAGAGGAUAGUGGAAUUCCCAGUGUAGUGGUGAAAUACGUAGAGAUUGGGAAGAACACCAGUGGCGAAGGCGGCUAUCUGGACGGUUUCUGACGCUAAGACGCGAAAGCGUGGGGAGCAAACAGG